rnacentral:ncRNA from 2 species
AGACACCGCUAGGGGAGCACGCGCUGAGAGUCGCCGUCCGGAUGGACGGGGCAACCCUCUGAACCUGACCCGGGUAAUACCGGCGUAGGCAAGCGGGCGACGCAACGA